AAAGGAGAAAGGAGCGAAAUAAUCAGCCUAUAAAUAACAAAGAAGGCAGAUCUAGGGUUUUCAAAUUGCCUUUUGAGAGAACAGAGCGAAGUUUACAAUAAGCAGUGCCGCUCUUGUUCCGUUGCCGGCAGAUACGAAACCCUAAAAUAAUUCCCUUCAGUUUUUGCAAGUGAUUUUCUUCAACUCUUGCAAGUUUCGCAGAAAGGGAUAGUGUGUAUCGACGAUGUGCAAAUUUUCCGGUGCACUAUGUUCGAAAGAUUUUCCUGCAAAAUUGAUUCGGGGAAGGUGGGCAGUUGUGUUUCAUAUCCAUCGUUGAUACUUUUCAACAAUCAUCUUCCCCAUAUUGUAAGCUAUUAUCUUAUGAUAAUUUUAUCGGCUAAUUUAUCCA